GUGGUCACUUUGGCAGCACAUACUCAAAUUGGAACAAUACAGAUAAGAUUAGCAUGGCCUCUGUGCAAAGAUGACAUGCAAACUCAUGAAGCAUUCCAUAUUUUU
ensembl:snRNA U6 U6 spliceosomal RNA